rnacentral:rRNA from 1 species
GAUGAACGCUGGCGGCGUACCUAAUACAUGCAAGUCGAGCGAACAGAUAAGGAGCUUGCUCCUUUGACGUUAGCGGCGGACGGGUGAGUAACACGUGGGUAACCUACCUAUAAGACUGGGAUAACUUCGGGAAACCGGAGCUAAUACCGGAUAACAUUUGGAACCGCAUGGUUCUAAAGUGAAAGAUGGUUUUGCUAUCACUUAUAGAUGGACCCGCGCCGUAUUAGCUAGUUGGUAAGGUAACGGCUUACCAAGGCGACGAUACGUAGCCGACCUGAGAGGGUGAUCGGCCACACGGGAACUGAGACACGGUCCAGACUCCUACGGGAGGCAGCAGUAGGGAAUCUUCCGCAAUGGGCGAAAGCCUGACGGAGCAACGCCGCGUGAGUGAUGAAGGGGUUCGGCUCGUAAAACUCUGUUAUUAGGGAAGAACAAAUGUGUAAGUAACUGUGCACGUCUUGACGGUACCUAAUCAGAAAGCCACGGCUAACUACGUG